UACGAAGGGGGCUAGCGUUGCUCGGAAUCACUGGGCGUAAAGCGCACGUAGGCGGCUUUCUAAGUCAGGGGUGAAAUCCUGGAGCUCAACUCCAGAACUGCCUUUGAUACUGGAGAGCUUGAGUCCGGAAGAGGUGAGUGGAACUCCGAGUGUAGAGGUGAAAUUCGUAGAUAUUCGGAAAGAACACCAGUGGCGAAGGCGGCUCACUGGUCCGGUACUGACGCUGAGGUGCGAAAGCGUGGGGAGCAAACAGG
rnacentral:rRNA from 1 species